GCGUAUUUUGCGCAGGCGGAGCUCGACCGCCCGUUUCGGAAAUGAUCCACUUUAUCAAAGAACAUCGGGGCAUAUGUGGGGUCGAGCCGAUCUGUCGUGUUUUGCAGAUCGCCCC
rnacentral:ncRNA from 1 species